rnacentral:rRNA from 1 species
AAUCAACGCUGGCGGCGUGCCUCAGACAUGCAAGUCGAACGAUUAAACUUUCCUUCGGGAAAGAUAUAAAGUGGCGCACGGGUGAGUAACACGUAAGUAAUCUACCUUUGAGUGGGGAAUAACGUUCGGAAACGGACGCUAAUACCGCAUAAUGCAGCGGCACCGCAAGGUGACAGUUGUUAAAGGAGCAAUUCGCUUAAAGAGGAGCUUGCGGCAGAUUAGCUUGUUGGAAGGUAACGGCUUACCAAGGCUACGAUCUGUAUCCGGUCUAAGAGGACGGUCGGACACACUGACACUGAAUAACGGGUCAGACUCCUACGGGAGGCAGCAGUCGGGAAUUUUGGGCAAUGGGCGAAAGCCUGACCCAGCAACGCCGUGUGUGUGAGGAAGGCCUUAGGGUCGUAAAGCACUGUUGGUGGGGACGAAGGGCGAAGGGUUAAUAGCCCCUAGCUUGACGGUACCCUUCGAGGAAGCCCGGCUAACUACGUGCCAACAGUAGCCGCUGUAAC